ensembl:snRNA U6 U6 spliceosomal RNA
GUGCUUACACUGGCAACACAUAUACUGAAAUUGGAAUAAUACAGAGAAGAUUAGCAUGGCUCCUGUGCAAGGGUGACACACAAAUUGGUGAAGUGUUCCAUAUUUUU